rnacentral:rRNA from 1 species
GAUGAACGCUAGCUACAGGCUUAACACAUGCAAGUCGAGGGGAAACGACAUCGAAAGCUUGCUUUUGAUGGGCGUCGACCGGCGCACGGGUGAGUAACGCGUAUCCAACCUGCCCACCACUUGGGGAUAACCUUGCGAAAGUAAGACUAAUACCCAAUGAUAUCUCUAGAAGACAUCUGAAAGAGAUUAAAGAUUUAUCGGUGAUGGAUGGGGAUGCGUCUGAUUAGCUUGUUGGCGGGGUAACGGCCCACCAAGGCGACGAUCAGUAGGGGUUCUGAGAGGAAGGUCCCCCACAUUGGAACUGAGACACGGUCCAAACUCCUACGGGAGGCAGCAGUGAGGAAUAUUGGUCAAUGGGCGAGAGCCUGAACCAGCCAAGUAGCGUGCAGGAAGACGGCCCUAUGGGUUGUAAACUGCUUUUAUAAGGGAAUAAAGUGAGUCUCGUGAGACUUUUUGCAUGUACCUUAUGAAUAAGGACCGGCUAAUUCCGUGCCAGCAGCCGCAGUAAGAC